rnacentral:rRNA from 1 species
CUGAGACCUGAUGCCGAGCCGAUUGUGGUGAAGUGGAUGAUCCUAUGCUGUCGAGAAAAGCCUCUAGCGAGUUUCAUGGCGGCCCGUACCCCAAACCGACUCAGGUGGUCAGGUAGAGAAUACCGAGGCGUUCGGGUGAACUAUGGUUAAGGAACUCGGCAAAAUGCCCCCGUAACUUCGGGAGAAGGGGGGCCAUUCCUGGUGACG